UACGUAGGGUGCAAGCGUUGUCCGGAAUUAUUGGGCGUAAAGAGCUCGUAGGCGGUCUGUCGCGUCGGCUGUGAAAACCUGGGGCUCAACUCCGGGCCUGCAGCCGAUACGGGCAGACUAGAAUUCGGUAGGGGGAGACUGGAAUUCCUGGUGUAGCGGUGAAAUGCGCAGAUAUCAGGAGGAACACCGGUGGCGAAGGCGGGCUCUGGGCCGAUAUUGACGUGGAGGAGCGAAAGCGUGGGGAGCGAACAGG
rnacentral:rRNA from 1 species